UGUAAUCUGCUGUGCUCGGGCUCUUAUGCGCAGGAUAGGUGGGAGGCUUUGAUCCUUUGUUUGCGGGUGAUGGUGAGCCACUGGUGAGAUACCACUCUUUAAGAGCUAGAAUUCUAACGGUCAUCCUUUUUCCGGGGAGCUUGCCGUUUUCAGAGGGGCAUUUUGACUGGGGCGGCCCCCCCAAAAAAGGAAACUGAGGCGGAAAAAGGUUCCUUCGGAAUGGUGGGAAAUCAUUCAGAAAGGAUAAAGGUAAAAGGGAGCUUGACUGAAAAACCUACAAUUCAAACAGGGGCAAAGUCCGGUCUUAGGGUUCCAACGGUGCCGCGGGAAAGGGCCGCCCUUCAACGAUUAAAAUUUACUCUAGGAAUAACGGGUUAAA
rnacentral:rRNA from 1 species